GUGCUCGCUUUGGCAGCACAUAUACUAAAAUUGGAACGAUACAGAGAAGAUUAGCAUGGCCCCUGUGCAAGGAUGACGCGCAAAUUUGUGAAGCGUUCCAUAUUUUU
ensembl:snRNA Gm24445 predicted gene, 24445